UUUAAAAUCGAUCAUAAAAUAACCGAUCUUAAAAGUACUUUUAAGAUCAGUUAUUUUAUAACCGAUCUUAAA
rnacentral:miRNA from 1 species